rnacentral:rRNA from 1 species
UACGUAGGGUGCAAGCGUUGUCUGGAAUUAUUGGGCGUAAAGAGCUUGUAGGCGGUCUGUCGCGUCUGCUGUGAAAAUCCGGGGCUCAACCCCGGACUUGCAGUGGGUACGGGCAGACUAGAGUGUGGUAGGGGAGACUGGAAUUCCUGGUGUAGCGGUGAAAUGCGCAGAUAUCAGGAGGAACACCGAUGGCGAAGGCAGGUCUCUGGGCCACUACUGACGCUGAGAAGCGAAAGCAUGGGGAGCGAACAGG